UACGUAGGGGGCAAGCGUUGUCCGGAAUCAUUGGGCGUAAAGCGCGUGUAGGCGGUUCGGUAAGUCCGCUGUGAAAGUCGGGGGCUCAACCCUCGGAUGCCGGUGGAUACUGUCGAGCUUGAGUACGGAAGAGGCGAGUGGAAUACCCGGUGGAGCGGUGAAAUGCGUAGAGAUCGGGUGGAACACCAGUGGCGAAGGCGGCAUCCUGGCCCUGACCUGACGCUGAGGCGCGAGAGCGUGGGGAGCAAACGGG
rnacentral:rRNA from 1 species